AGUAAGAUCCCUGAAAGAUGAUCAGGUUGAUAGGUUCGAGGUGGAAGCAUGGUGACAUGUGGAGCUGACGAAUACUAAUAGAUCGAGGACUUAACCAUAUAA
rnacentral:rRNA from 2 species